CUCCAGAGAUGAGGGUGGUCGCCUACCCCGGACGAGCCCCAAAAUGAAAGACCCUCUGAGCAAGGAAACCCUCACUCAAGUCUCCGGAUGAUGCGACCUCCAAAGAACUCAUGAGAGACC
rnacentral:pre_miRNA from 14 species